AGAGUUUGAUCCUGGCUCAGGACGAACGCUGGCGGCGUGCUUAACACAUGCAAGUCGAACGGAAAGGCCUGCCACCUUGGUGGUGGGUACUCGAGUGGCGAACGGGUGAGUAACACGUGGGUGAUCUGCCCCGCACUGUGGGAUAAGCCUGGGAAACUGGGUCUAAUACCACAUACGACCAUGGCGUAGGGGUCAUGGUGGAAAGCUUUUGCGGUGUGGGAUGAGCCCGCGGCCUAUCAGCUUGUUGGUGGGGUAAUGGCCUACCAAGGCGGCGACGGGUAGCCGGCCUGAGAGGGUGGACGGCCACAUUGGGACUGAGACACGGCCCAGACUCCUACGGGAGGCAGCAGUGGGGAAUAUUGCACAAUGGGCGCAAGCCUGAUGCAGCGACGCCGCGUGGGGGAUGGAAGGCCUUCGGGUUGUAAACUCCUUUCGCCCGGGACGAAGCCCACCUUGGUGGGUGACGGUACCGUGGAGAAGAAGCACCGGCUAACUACGUG
rnacentral:rRNA from 1 species